rnacentral:rRNA from 1 species
AUAGCGUAUAUUUAAGUUGUUGCAGUUAAAAAGCUCGUAGUUGGAUUUCGGUUGAGAACGGCCGGUCCGCCGUUUGGUGUGCACUGGCUGGUUUCAACUUCCUGUAGAGGACGCGCUCUGGCUUCACGGCUGGACGCGGAGUCUACGUGGUUACUUUGAAAAAAUUAGAGUGUUCAAAGCGGGCUUACGCUUGAAUAUUUCAGCAUGGAAUAACACUAUAGGACUCCUGUCCUAUUUCGUUGGUCUCGGGACGGGAGUAAUGAUUAAGAGGAACAGUUGGGGGCAUUCGUAUUUCAUUGUCAGAGGUGAAAUUCUUGGAUUUAUGAAAGACGAACUUCUGCGAAAGCAUUUGCCAAGGAUGUUUUCAUUAAUCAAGAACGAAAGUUGGGGGCUCGAAGAUGAUUAGAUACCAUCCUAGUCUCAACCAUAAACGAUGCCGACUAGGGAUUGCAGGAUGUUAAUUGAUGACUCCUGCAGCACCUUAUGAGAAAUCAAAGUUUUUGGGUUCUGGGGGGAGUAUGGUCGCAAGGCUGAAACUUAAAGGAAUUG